rnacentral:lncRNA from 1 species
CGCGGACACGCGUGGUGUGCGCGGUCCCCGUGCAGCCCGCCCUGCCGCAGGCUGCCCUCCACCCCCAGCCCCAGCUCCAGCCCCCAGCCCGUCCCCACUGCUCAUAUCCGAGCAGAUAGACCCCGGCCCCACCCUCCCGUGCUGAGCCUCCUUUCUGCCGGGAAGUUCGUCCGGGAGUCAAACAUCGCUGCCCUCCGGUUGCGCCACGGAGGGGGAGCCAGGAUAGGAAGCUGCCGUGAAAUCAGGAAGCUGAGCGCGCCGGGCCCCGGAUCCGAACAGAAAAGGCUUCCACCCGCUCCCCUGAGGGAUCCCACGCUGAGGGACUGAACCCCGCACCCCAGCCGCGCUCACCACCCCCACCCUCUCGCCUGGGCUGCUCUGACCUGGGGGUGGUCUAUAUGCUCUUAAUCUCUGCAUUUCCUCUUUCCAGUGAGGAGGAGUUUCACUGCUGUCAUCAUCAUCUGACUCAGAACAGGAUCUUGAUCUUGGAGUUCACUUUCUGAAGAUGAUUCUGAAGAAGAGGAGGAAUUGGAAGAGGAAUCCGAGCCUUCUGAAUGAGUUGGUUUCUUCCUUUUUUUCUCAAAAACUUUUAAGAAACAUUAAUAAAAACAUUAGUACUAAAUUCAGUGCCUACCUUUCAGAGUAAAAAAUGUGAUUACUGAAUAUCAUAAAAUAUGCUUUACAUACAGCAAACAAAAAAUGAAAUGUA